rnacentral:tRNA from 1 species
ACUUGCGUGACGCAAUGGUAAGCGUCUGGCAGCAUCUGCACGCUCUGCGCGCAGACGGUUGGUUCAAUUCCGACCGCAGGAA